UACAGAGGGCCCGAGCGUUGUUCGGAUUCACUGGGCGUAAAGGGUGCGUAGGCGGCCUGAAAAGUUUGAUGUGAAAGCUCAGGGCUUAACCCUGAAAUGGCAUUGAAUACUGUCGGGCUGGAGGUUUGGAGGGGGGACUGGAAUUCUUGGUGUAGCAGUGAAAUGCGUAGAUAUCAAGAGGAACACCAGUGGCGAAGGCGAGUCCCUGGACAACACCUGACACUGAGGCACGAAAGCUAGGGGAGCAAACAGG
rnacentral:rRNA from 1 species